AGAAGCAAGUGAGAUCCUCAAAUGUUCGGGAGAAACAGUUCAGGGGCUCUGAGUCCGAGGCCGGCAAGGAGACAUCUGAGGAACAGCUGAAACGCGGAAAAUUGAGGUGCAGAGAAGUUAACGAUUUGCCCAAGAUUACAUAUGUACUAAAAGAUAAAGCUUGAGAGGUCAACCUUCAGAACCGAAGCGCAUAACAACCAUGCUAUGCUCUUGGGAGGUGUAAUCUGCUGAGAAAUGCCUCUCUCUCACACAACCAUGGCCAAAUGGUUGUUCACUGCAAGUGUAUAGAAGAAAAUUGCUUUUUGUAUAUCAAUCUUGUAUUCUGCAACUGUCCUGAACUUACUUAUUAUUAGUUCUAAAUAAUUUUUUAGUGGACUUAAA